UGUGGCCCUAUGAAGAGGAAGACUGAAAUUUAGACAGUAAUACCUUUACUAGGAUUGGAAAAGAUUUGGUUAAUGACAGCCCUGUCAUUUCUAAAACCCAUUAUCACUGUAUGAGAGAUUCCUUUGCGCUGCAUCCUCGACAGUGCUUCCUAAGGCUCUGCCGACUUCCAGUUCUGGAACAAGAUGGUUAAACUCAUUUUUCCCUGCUCUGCUCCUCUAAAUACAACUAAGUACCUUGGAAACUAUUCAGCACACAAUGAUAAAGAGCUCUGAAAGCUAGAAGAAAAGAAGGUGUACUUGCAAGAAACCUCAGGACUUGAGUAACAGCAACAUGGCAGGCCAGAAAAGAGACCCAGGGAGGUUAGCCCAUGUCUUCGGCUACACUGGUGAAGGCAUCAUGCCUGCUCCACACCACAUUUUUAUUCA
rnacentral:lncRNA from 1 species